AAAAAGAUAAGCUAAAUAAGCUAAUGGGUUCAUACCCCGUAUAUAAAGGUUUAAAUCCUUUUCUUUUUA
rnacentral:tRNA from 2 species